CUGAACCUUUCCCUCUUCAGAAUUUUCAGAUCAAUUCUGUCUGUGCAGGAAUAGUUGUUGCUUUUUUUUUCAAGCCGGGGUUCUUUGUGUAUAAACACUUGUGAAGGACCACUCAAUCUCUUUAAGAAAGAUCUGCUCCUUCCUUACCUGUUGCCCAGCAACCAGGAUCUAAAUCCAACUUCUCCAUCCCCUGCAAACUUCUGUGACUGCCCUGCAGGGAAACAGCCUUUUAUGAGGGCAAUUUUACCAUUUCUCAUCCUCAGCUUCAAGACCUGUCAAGUGUACAGGAUUUGACUAAGAUCUUCUUCCAGGAAACUAAAAAGCAUUGAAGCCUCUUACCAUUUCCAUGUACUGUACAUCUGCAGAUCCAAGCAGCAAUGAAGCUAUAUAAAUCUACCUUCUGCUUAGCCACCUGUAGAAAAUUGCACCUAAAGUUAUGCAGAAAGUUUGCACUGAACCUUGAAGACAUGUACUCUGACAUCCAGCUGGAAAUUCAAACUGUUCCAAAAAAGGAGUGCUGCUGUUUUUCUCCUUUGGAGGCAUCAUUUGGAACGAGAUAACAUUUUGUUUUAUUGUCAAUAAUAUAUGAAGGAAAGAACUGCACACCUUCAUCAGAGUCUGAAGGAGUUUAAGUUAGGAUUUGAAAACUGCCAAAAAUGACAGCAAGACAAUGAAAAAACAGUGAUUUUCUUUAAAAAAUAGGAGAAAUAAGUGGGCUUUCUGAGAAACAGAAAUGACAUUGCGAAGUAGAUUUUAUUUCAUUUCUGAACUUAUCGCAAACUGAUGAGAUUUGUUUUCUUCCUAC
rnacentral:lncRNA from 1 species